UACGUAGGGGGCAAGCGUUGUCCGGAAUCAUUGGGCGUAAAGAGCGUGUAGGCGGCCCGGUAAGUCCGCCGUGAAAGUCCAGGGCUCAACCCUGGAAUGCGGGUGGAUACUGCCGGGCUAGAGUCCGGAAGAGGCGAGUGGAAUUCCUGGUGUAGCGGUGGAAUGCGCAGAUAUCAGGAGGAACACCAAUAGCGAAGGCAGCUCGCUGGGACGGUACUGACGCUAAGGCGCGAAAGCGUGGGGAGCAAACAGG
rnacentral:rRNA from 1 species